GACGAACGCUGGCGGCGUGCCUAAUACAUGCAAGUAGAACGCUGAAGAGAGGAGCUUGCUCUUCUUGGAUGAGUUGCGAACGGGUGAGUAACGCGUAGGUAACCUGCCUUGUAGCGGGGGAUAACUAUUGGAAACGAUAGCUAAUACCGCAUAACAAUGGAUGACACAUGUCAUUUAUUUGAAAGGGGCAAUUGCUCCACUACAAGAUGGACCUGCGUUGUAUUAGCUAGUAGGUGAGGUAACGGCUCACCUAGGCGACGAUACAUAGCCGACCUGAGAGGGUGAUCGGCCACACUGGGACUGAGACACGGCCCAGACUCCUACGGGAGGCAGCAGUAGGGAAUCUUCGGCAAUGGGGGCAACCCUGACCGAGCAACGCCGCGUGAGUGAAGAAGGUUUUCGGAUCGUAAAGCUCUGUUGUAAGUCAAGAACGAGUGUGAGAGUGGAAAGUUCACACUGUGACGGUAGCUUACCAGAAAGGGACGGCUAACUACGUGCCAGCAGCCGCGGUAAUACGUAGGUCCCGAGCGUUGUCCGGAUUUAUUGGGCGUAAAGCGAGCGCAGGCGGUUUGAUAAGUCUGAAGUUAAAGGCUGUGGCUCAACCAUAGUUCGCUUUGGAAACUGUCAAACUUGAGUGCAGAAGGGGAGAGUGGAAUUCCAUGUGUAGCGGUGAAAUGCGUAGAUAUAUGGAGGAACACCGGUGGCGAAAGCGGCUCUCUGGUCUGUAACUGACGCUGAGGCUCGAAAGCGUGGGGAGCGAACAGGAUUAGAUACCCUGGUAGUCCACGCCGUAAACGAUGAGUGCUAGGUGUUGGAUCCUUUCCGGGAUUCAGUGCCGCAGCUAACGCAUUAAGCACUCCGCCUGGGGAGUACGACCGCAAGGUUGAAACUCAAAGGAAUUGACGGGGGCCCGCACAAGCGGUGGAGCAUGUGGUUUAAUUCGAAGCAACGCGAAGAACCUUACCAGGUCUUGACAUCCCGAUGCUAUUUCUAGAGAUAGAAAGUUACUUCGGUACAUCGGUGACAGGUGGUGCAUGGUUGUCGUCAGCUCGUGUCGUGAGAUGUUGGGUUAAGUCCCGCAACGAGCGCAACCCCUAUUGUUAGUCGCCAUCAUUCAGUUGGGCACUCUAGCGAGACUGCCGGUAAUAAACCGGAGGAAGGUGGGGAUGACGUCAAAUCAUCAUGCCCCUUAUGACCUGGGCUACACACGUGCUACAAUGGUUGGUACAACGAGUUGCGAGUCGGUGACGGCAAGCUAAUCUCUUAAAGCCAAUCUCAGUUCGGAUUGUAGGCUGCAACUCGCCUACAUGAAGUCGGAAUCGCUAGUAAUCGCGGAUCAGCACGCCGCGGUGAAUACGUUCCCGGGCCU
rnacentral:rRNA from 1 species